rnacentral:rRNA from 1 species
AUUGAACGCUGGCGGCAUGCCUUACACAUGCAAGUCGAACGGUAACGCGGGGCAACCUGGCGACGAGUGGCGAACGGGUGAGUAAUGUAUCGGAACGUGCCCAGUUGUGGGGGAUAACUGCUCGAAAGAGCAGCUAAUACCGCAUACGACCUGAGGGUGAAAGCGGGGGAUCGCAAGACCUCGCGCAAUUGGAGCGGCCGAUAUCAGAUUAGGUAGUUGGCGGUGUAAAGGCUCACCAAGCCAACGAUCUGUAGCUGGUCUGAGAGGACGACCAGCCACACUGGGACUGAGACACGGCCCAGACUCCUACGGGAGGCAGCAGUGGGGAAUUUUGGACAAUGGACGCAAGUCUGAUCCAGCCAUGCCGCGUGCGGGAAGAAGGCCUUCGGGUUGUAAACCGCUUUUGUCAGGGAAGAAACGCUCUGGGUUAAUACCUCGGGGUAAUGACGGUACCUGAAGAAUAAGCACCGGCUAACUACGUGCCAGCCGCCGCGGUAAAAC